UCUGUUUUGCAUGCAGGAGAUGUGGGGUAAUGUCCCGCAAGUCUUA
rnacentral:tRNA from 2 species